AACAAACGCUGGCGGCGUGCCUAAUACAUGCAAGUCGAACGGGGAAAGCUUUCGGGUGAGUACUAGUGGCGCACGGGUGAGUAACGCGUGGAUAAUCUGCCUUAGAGUGGGGGAUAACUAGUCGAAAGAUUAGCUAAUACCGCAUAAGACCACAAGAACUGCGGUUCAAGGGGUCAAAGGUUUUUCGCUCUAAGAUGAGUCCGCGUAAGAUUAGCUAGUUGGUAGGGUAACGGACUACCAAGGCGACAAUCUUUAACUGGUCUGAGAGGAUGAUCAGUCACACUGGAACUGAGACACGGUCCAGACUCCUACGGGAGGCAGCAGUAGGGAAUAUUGCACAAUGGAGGAAACUCUGAUGCAGCGACGCCGCGUGAGUGAUGAAGGCCUUCGGGUCGUAAAGCUCUGUCGCAGGGGAAUAACACAAUGAAGGUACCCUGUAAGAAAGGAUCGGCUAACUUCGUGCCAGCCGCCGCAGUAACAC
rnacentral:rRNA from 1 species